rnacentral:rRNA from 1 species
GAUGAACGCUGGCGGCGUGCCUAAUACAUGCAAGUCGAGCGAACGGACGAGAAGCUUGCUUCUCUGAUGUUAGCGGCGGACGGGUGAGUAACACGUGGAUAACCUACCUAUAAGACUGGGAUAACUUCGGGAAACCGGAGCUAAUACCGGAUAAUAUUUUGAACCGCAUGGUUCAAAAGUGAAAGACGGUCUUGCUGUCACUUAUAGAUGGAUCCGCGCUGCAUUAGCUAGUUGGUAAGGUAACGGCUUACCAAGGCAACGAUGCAUAGCCGACGUGAGAGGGGGAUAGGCCGCACGGGAACUGGGACGCGGUCCAGACUCCUACGGGAGGCAGCAGUAGGGAAUCUGCCGCAAUGGGCGAAAGCCUGACGGAGCAGCGCCGCGUGAGUGAUGAAGAUCUUCGGAUCGUAAAACUCUGUUAUGGGGGAAAAACAUAUGUGUAAGUAACUGUGCACAUCUUGACGGUACCUAAUCAGAAAGCCACGGCUAACUACGUG